GCAUAUCAAUAAGCGGAGGAAAAGAAAAUAACAAUGAUUCCCCUAGUAACUGCGAGUGAAGAGGGACAAGCUCAGAUUUUAAAUCUGUUUGGUCUUACCAAACUGAGUUGUAAUUUGAAGAAAAUGUUUUCUGUGUCUUGAAUUAAUUUAAAUCCUUUGGAAUGAGGUAUCAUGGAGGGUGACAAUCCCGUUCGUGGUUAAUUUUAAGACACUUUAUGAUACGUUUUCGAAGAGUCGAGUUGUUUGGGAUUGCAGCUCAAAAUGGGAGGUAAAUUUCUCCUAAGGCUAAAUAUUGGCGAGAGACCGAUAGCGAACAAGUACCGUGAGGGAAAGAUGAAAAGAACUUUGAAAAGAGAGUUAAACAGUACGUGAAAUUGUUGAAAGGGAAACGAUUGAAGCCAGUCGUACCGACGGGAAAUCAACUUCUCGAGUGCCUAUCGCGGGUGACGUUGAGCCUCACGGCCUUCGUUGCUUGUGUUGUUGGUGCUUUUAGGGUGUACUUUUCCGUAUGGUAGGUCAGCAUCGAUUUCGUUCGUCAUAAAAUGAUCGGGGGAAUGUAGCUUCGGUCUCGUAUCGGAGUGUUAUAGACCUUGGUAGAUGUGACGAUUGGGAUCGAGGAUUGCAACGAAUACCCUUUUGGGCUAUCCGUCUGGCCUCUGAAAGUCGCUCGGGUGUCGAAAGCGUGCUUACGGCUAUCUGAGUUGGCGGUCAACAGGUUAGAACGUGGUUACAUUCGUUAAGGAUGUUGACGUA
rnacentral:rRNA from 1 species